GACUUUUAGUAUAGCAUUGGAAAUGUAAAUGAGCUAAAUACCUAAUAAAAAAUGGAAAAAAAUACUAUUUAACUACCCAUACAAUGUCUAUAUUGAUCUUAUCUUAGUCUUAUUUAUUAGCCAGAAUUUUAAAACUAUUCAAAACGGUUGUUGCCUUACUUUUUUUUUUUACACUCCAGCUUUUAUCUCCCCAUCCCCGUCCACCCUCUGACUGUCCCACAUCCCAUACCUCUUCCCUAUCCUCUGUCUCUAUGAUGAUGUCCCUAUUCCUUACCCACGCCCCACCUGACCUCUAAACUCCCUGGGGCCCCAGUCUCUUGAGGGUUAGGUGCAUCUUCUCUGACUGAACUCAACCUGGCAGUCCGCUGCUGUAUUUGUGUUGGGGGGCUAUAUCAGCUGGUGUGUGCUGCCUGGUUGGUGGUCCAACGUUUGAGAGAUCUCGGGAGUCCAGGUUAAUUGAGACUGCUGGUCCUCCUACAGGGCCUCCCUCCUCCUCAGCUUCUGUUGUCUUACUUUUUAUUGCUAUGAUAAACACAUAACCUACACAGCCCAGAAAAGAAAGUGCUUAUUUGGGCUUAUGGUUCAGAGGGUUAGAGUUCAUGAUGGUGGAACAAAGACAUGGUAGCAGGAACAGCUGAGAGAGCUCACAUCUUAAACCCACAAACAGAAGGCAGAAAGCACAUGGGAAUGUCUUGAAACCUUAAAGUCCAUACACAGAGAAACCCUGUCUCGAAAAACCAAAAAAAAAAAAAAAAUUAUUAUGGGUGUGUGUGUUUGUGUUUGUGUUUGUGUGUGUGGUGUGUGUAUACAUACAAAGCACCUGUGACAUAGUGUAUAUGUGGAGAACAGAGGACAACUUUGUGGAGUUGGUUCUCUCCUCCUGCUUGUUUGUGGAUUUGUCAAGUGUGUGUUAAGAGUGCUUUUACUCACUGAGCCAUAUUGUUAGCCUAUAACUUUGUGUUAAGGAGAGUGAACAAGUUUGUCAGUGAGGGAGAAAUAGUCCUGUAAAGACCUCUAGCAGCAUUUUUAUAAUCUCAAAACAGCUACCUCAACAUAUAAGUAAAAGUUAGCCAAUGUAUAGAGUAGGAAUUAGUUUGACCAAGUGACCAAUUUUAUAUCAGUAAUAUGUCAAAUAAUCCAUCCCAUGAUAAACACUAAGACAAAUCUAAUAUCAUUGCUGUGGAGUUUGCCCAAAGUGUGUAAUUAUAAUAGUAUAAUAGUAAGAAAACAAGUAGUACACCCAAGGAUAUAGCCAACAAAAUAACUGAUAAAUAAGUUUAUAGCAUCAAGAAUAUGAACAACAAUAAAAUAAAUGGAGUUGUUAGAUACUUCAGGAGACUAAAGAGAAAUAACUAAAUAUCUUGGGAUUCUGGAAAGAAGUCUGGGACAAAAAAAUAUUGACAGGAAAAGCUAGUAUCAUUUGAAUAUGGCUUUAGUUUAGUAUAUUAUGCCAAUAUUAGUGUUCAGGUUCUGAUAAACAUACUAUGUUAUGUAAGAUGCUAACAUUGAUGACACUAUAUCAGGAGUGUAUAGAAAGUAAGCUAUUUCUGUAACUUUUCAAAAAGUCUAAAAUGUUACUAAAGGAGGGUUUUUAAAAUCCUGUACAAGAUUCCUUAUAAAUUUCUAUAUCUUUGUCUUCUUUAUCUUUUAAGUUAAAAUCUAUUAUGAGGUUAAAAGAACUGUUUAAUCCUUGGUAGAAACUGGCC
rnacentral:lncRNA from 1 species